UUAGUUGGUGGAGUGAUUUGUCUGGUUAAUUCCGUUAACGAACGAGACCUCAGCCUGCUAAUUAGUAGUACUUAUUCUAUCCGUACGAAUUUGGUUUGUGUUUUCCGAACGGCGACUUUGGUCACGCUCUGGAAACGGAGUAUUCUAUCGUCUCUUAGUAGGAGAGUCUCUCUCAAAAGGUACACUUUGGAAUAGGUCUCUUCGACGAAGCACGGGGAGAUAUCCUUGAUGUGAUGUGUCGGCGACAACUUCUUAGAGGGACUAUCUGUGUUCAGCAGAAGUAAGUGUGAGGCAAUAACAGG
rnacentral:rRNA from 1 species